GUGGGGAAUCUUCCGCAAUGGACGAAAGUCUGACGGAGCGACGCCGCGUGAGUGAAGAAGGCCUUCGGGUCGUAAAGCUCUGUCAUCAGGGACGAACGGCCGGUGGAGUGGAAAGCCACCGGAUUGACGGUACCUGAGAAGGAAGCCACGGCUAACUACGUGCCAGCAGCCGCGGUAAUACGUAGGUGGCAAGCGUUGUCCGGAAUUAUUGGGCGUAAAGCGCGCGCAGGUGGGAUCUUAAGUCCAUUUUUAAAGUUCGGAGCUCAACUCCGUGAUGGGAUGGAAACUGGGAUUCUUGAGGACCGGAGAGGAAAGCGGAAUUCCCCGUGUAGCGGUGAAAUGCGUAGAUAUGGGGAGGAACACCAGUGGCGAAGGCGGCUUUCUGGACGGUGUCUGACACUGAGGCGCGAAAGCCAGGGGAGCGAACGGGAUUAGAAACCCGAGUAGUCC
rnacentral:rRNA from 1 species